rnacentral:rRNA from 1 species
CCCAGUGACUACGGGUUCAACGGCCGCGGUAUUUUGACCGUGCAAAGGUAGCGCAAUCACUUGUCUUUUAAAUAAAGACCUGUAUGAAUGGCUAGACGAGGGCUUAGCUGUCUCCCCCCUCCAGUCAGUGAAAUUGAUCUAUCCGUGCAGAAGCGGAUAUGAUUAUACAAGACGAGAAGACCCUUUGGAGCUUAAGGUACAAAACUUAAUCACGUUAAACAACUUAGCAAAGAGAUAAGAACUUAGUGAGACAUAAGACUUUACCUUCGGUUGGGGCGACCACGGAGGAAAAACAAGCCUCCAAGAGGAACGGGCAUAUGCCCUAAAGCUUAGAGAAACCUCUCUACGCCGCAGAACAUCUGACCAACAAUGAUCCGGCAUAAAGCCGAUCAACGGACCAAGUUACCCUAGGGAUAACAGCGCAAUCCUCUCCCAGAGUCCAUAUCGACGAGGGGGUUUACGACCUCGAUGUUGGAUCAGGACAUCCUAAUGGUGCAGCCGCUAUUAAGGGUUCGUUUGUUCAACGAUUAAAGUCCU